rnacentral:rRNA from 1 species
GACGAACGCUGGCGGCGUGCUUAACACAUGCAAGUCGAACGGAAAGGCCCUGCUUUUGUGGGGUGCUCGAGUGGCGAACGGGUGAGUAACACGUGAGUAACCUGCCCUUGACUUUGGGAUAACUUCAGGAAACUGGGGCUAAUACCGGAUAGGAGCUCCUGCUGCAUGGUGGGGGUUGGAAAGUUUCGGCGGUUGGGGAUGGACUCGCGGCUUAUCAGCUUGUUGGUGGGGUAGUUGCUUACCAAGGCUUUGACGGGUAGCCGGACUGAGAGGGUGACCGGCCACAUUGGGACUGAGAUACGGACCAGAAGCCUACGGGAGGCAGCAGUGGGGAAUAUUGCACAAUGGGCGGAAGCCUGAUGCAGCAACGCCGCGUGCGGGAUGACGGCCUUCGGGUUGUAAACCGCUUUCGCCUGUGACGAAGCGUGAGUGACGGUAAUGGGUAAAGAAGCACCGGCUAACUACGUG